rnacentral:rRNA from 1 species
UUCCAGACUCCUACGGGAGGCAGCAGUGGGGAAUAUUGCGCAAUGGGGGGAACCCUGACGCAGCAACGCCGCGUGCAGGAAGAAGGUCUUCGGAUUGUAAACUGUUGUCGCAGGGGAAGAAGACAGUGACGGUACCCUGUGAGAAAGUCACGGCUAACUACGUGCCAGCAGCCGCGGUAAUACGUAGGUGACAAGCGUUGUCCGGAUUUACUGGGUGUAAAGGGAGCGUAGACGGCGAUGCAAGUCUGAAGUGAAAGCCCGGGGCUCAACCCCGGGACUGCUUUGGAAACUGUAUGGCUGGAGUGCUGGAGAGGCAAGCGGAAUUCCUAGUGUAGCGGUGAAAUGCGUAGAUAUUAGGAAGAACACCAGUGGCGAAGGCGGCUUGCUGGACAGUAACUGACGUUGAGGCUCGAAAGCGUGGGGAGCAAACAGGAUUAGAUACCCGGGUAC